ACCUCUGUGAUGUCAAAUUGCGAAGCUUUUUACGUUCAGGGAAACGGGGUGGUCAUGGCGGCACGUGGAGUUUCAAUCACUCGCCAAAAAGCAGUAAUCUGCUGUCACUC